GACGAACGCUGGCGGCGUGCUUAACACAUGCAAGUCGAACGGUGAAGCGCCUUCCUUUUUGGUGGGUGUGGAGGAGUGGCGAACGGGUGAGUAACACGAUAGUAACCUGCUCCCUUCUGCUGGAUAACCGCAUGAAAGUGUUGCUAAUACGGGAUAUUCUGAGUCUGUCGGAUGAUGGGUCUGGGACAGUUAUUGUUUCGGUUGGGGAUGGGCUCGCGGCGUAUCAGCUUGUUGGUGAGGUGAUGGCCUACCAAGGCGGUGAAGAGUAGCCGGCCUGAGAGGGUGGGCGGUCACAGAGGGAAGGAGAGGCGGAGAAGACUCCGAGAGGCGGCAGCAGGGGAGAAUACUGCACGAGCGGAGGACGGAUGGUGCAGCGCCGCGGCGGGGGUGAUGGUCGCCUGCGGGUAGUGAACUUCUAUCGGGGGAGAAGAUAGCUUGCAUUGUCUGUGGGUGGGUUGACGGUACCUGGACAAGAAGCGCCGGCUAACUACGUG
rnacentral:rRNA from 1 species